UGGGGAUUAUUGCACAAUGGGCGCAAGCCUGAUGCAGCCAUGCCGCGUGUAUGAAGAAGGCCUUCGGGUUGUAAAGUACUUUCAGCGGGGAGGAAGGGAGUAAAGUUAAUACCUUUGCUCAUUGACGUUACCCGCAGAAGAAGCACCGGCUAACUCCGUGCCAGCAGCCGCGGUCAUACGGAGGGUGCAAGCGUUAAUCGGAAUUACUGGGCGUAAAGCGCACGCAGGCGGUUUGUUAAGUCAGAUGUGAAAUCCCCGGGCUCAACCUGGGAACUGCAUCUGAUACUGGCAAGCUUGAGUCUCGUAGAGGGGGGUAGAAUUCCAGGUGUAGCGGUGAAAUGCGUAGAGAUCUGGAGGAAUAACGGUGGCGAAGGCGGCCCCCUGGACGAAGACUGACGCUCAGGUGCGAAAGCGUGGGGAGCAAACAGG
rnacentral:rRNA from 1 species